rnacentral:rRNA from 1 species
UACGUAGGGUGCGAGCGUUAAUCGGAAUUACUGGGCGUAAAGCGUGCGUAGGUGGUUCGUUAAGUCUGAUGUGAAAGCCCUGGGCUCAACCUGGGAAUGGCAUUGGAAACUGGCGACCUAGAGUGCGGUAGAGGGUAGUGGAAUUCCCGGUGUAGCAGUGAAAUGCGUAGAGAUCGGGAGGAACAUCCGUGGCGAAGGCGACUACCUGGACCAGCACUGACACUGAGGCACGAAAGCGUGGGGAGCAAACAGG